UGAGGAAUAUUGGUCAAUGGAGGCAACUCUGAACCAGCCAUGCCGCGUGCAGGAAGACGGUCCUAUGGAUUGUAAACUGCUUUUAUUUAGGAAUAAACCCCCGGUCGUGCACCGGGGCUGAAUGUACUAAAAGAAUAAGCACCGGCUAACUCCGUGCCAGCAGCCGCGGUAGUACGGAGGGUGCAAGCGUUAUCCGGAAUCAUUGGGUUUAAAGGGUCCGCAGGCGGGUAAAUAAGUCAGAGGUGAAAUCCGGCAGCUCAACUGUCGCACUGCCUUUGAUACUGUUGAUCUUGAAUUUUAGUGGAGUGGGCGGAAUAUGUCAUGUAGCGGUGAAAUGCUUAGAUAUGACGUGGAACACCGAUAGCGAAGGCAGCUCACUAACUACGAAUUGACGCUCAUGGACGAAAGCGUGGGUAGCAAACA
rnacentral:rRNA from 1 species